rnacentral:rRNA from 1 species
GUGGGGAAUAUUGCACAAUGGGGGAAACCCUGAUGCAGCAACGCCGCGUGAGUGAAGAAGUAUUUCGGUAUGUAAAGCUCUAUCAGCAGGAAAGAAAAUGACGGUACCUGACUAAGAAGCCCCGGCUAACUACGUGCCAGCAGCCGCGGUAAUACGUAGGGGGCAAGCGUUAUCCGGAUUUACUGGGUGUAAAGGGAGCGUAGACGGUUUUGCAAGUCUGAAGUGAAAGCCCGGGGCUUAACCCCGGGACUGCUUUGGAAACUGUAGAACUAGAGUGCAGGAGAGGUAAGUGGAAUUCCUAGUGUAGCGGUGAAAUGCGUAGAUAUUAGGAGGAACACCAGUGGCGAAGGCGGCUUACUGGACUGUAACUGACGUUGAGGCUCGAAAGCGUGGGGAGCAAACAGGAUUAGAUACCCGGGUAGUCC